rnacentral:rRNA from 1 species
CAGUCUGCAACUCGACUGCAUGAAGUCGGAAUCGCUAGUAAUCGCGGAUCAGCAUGCCGCGGUGAAUACGUUCCCGGGCCUUGUACACACCGCCCGUCACACCAUGAGAGUCGGGAACACCCGAAGUCCGUAGCCUAACCGCAAGGAGGACGCAGUCGAAGGUGGGAUUGAUGACUGGGCGAAGUCGUAACAAGGUAGC